rnacentral:lncRNA from 1 species
GAAUAAUAUCUUUCCCACUCGGAAUGAUCUUCGUGAUAGGCAAACACAUGAAAGAUUGAAAAAUGAUUUAAUUCAAAAUAUUUUGAAUAAAUUUGGUGAUGAAAAUUAACAAUUAUUCUAUAUUUAUGUAAAAUUUUUGUUUUUAUGUUUAAUUAAUGUAUUUUAUGUUUAUUUAUAUUUCACUGAAAAAAACAUUUAUUUUUCCUAAGAAUUCCAACUUCGGAAUCACCAUUGUACACACAUUUUUAACAAGAAUCCUUAACUAUUCAAAAAAAAAUAUUACUAAACUAAUCUUAUGGACUCCACGAUAGGUGUCACCAUUGUGGAUGCUCUUAAUGUUCUUAGAAACUUCUUCCUCCUGUGGUUAACUUGUUAUAAUAAUGU